rnacentral:rRNA from 1 species
GUGGGGAAUUUUGGACAAUGGGCGCAAGCCUGAUCCAGCAAUGCCGCGUGCAGGAUGAAGGCCUUCGGGUUGUAAACUGCUUUUGUACGGAGCGAAACGGCUCUCUCUAAUAAAGGGGGUUAAUGACGGUACCGUAAGAAUAAGCACCGGCUAACUACGUGCCAGCAGCCGCGGUAAUACGUAGGGUGCGAGCGUUAAUCGGAAUUACUGGGCGUAAAGCGUGCGCAGGCGGUUAUAUAAGACAGAUGUGAAAUCCCCGGGCUCAACCUGGGCACUGCAUUUGUGACUGUAUAGCUAGAGUACGGCAGAGGGGGAUGGAAUUCCGCGUGUAGCAGUGAAAUGCGUAGAUAUGCGGAGGAACACCGAUGGCGAAGGCAAUCCCCUGGGCCUGUACUGACGCUCAUGCACGAAAGCGUGGGGAGCAAACAGGAUUAGAUACCCUGGUAGUCCACGCCCUAAACGAUGUCAACUGGUUGUUGGGUCUUUGCUGACUCAGUAACGAAGCUAACGCGUGAAGUUGAC